UUCCCUGCAGCGCAAUGGGUAGCGCGUUGGAUUUCUAAUCCAAAGGUCGUGGGCUCUAUUCGCACCGGGGAUG